ACAGGCGGGAAUUCAAAUGGACAAGUCAUAGCAAUGCUGUUCACAAACAACCGCCCCUGCACACAACUGUUAUUCUGAUUAGUAGAAUCAUCAACCUGUGAGAGGUGUCUACCUAGUAGUACUGCGGAUGAAUCUACUGACAUAAGUUUCAUGGACAGAGAUUAAAAGCUAUAAUUACCCAGAAGCAAAGCCUGCUCAAAGUCCUGGAACAGUUCUAAAACUGGAACACGGAAAAGAGGGAAGGUAGGGCCUCAGCACCCGGACAACAACAACUUCAACUAGCUGGAGUUCCAGGGAUCGACAGGAAAGGAGUGUUUUGUAAAGAAUGCUGUAAUGUGUGAACUAAAGUGUAUAUUCUUGGUUUGCUGUGUGUCCUACCUGUUGCACCAUUCAGAGCAACGGCAGCACAGAGCAGCAGAGAUAUGGUCAACAUUGCCAUGUUAGUGAUGAUGGUCUCCUAAAAACAAGGGCAGCAGCCUCUAAGGUGCAGGUUUGAGUAACCGGGUGGUGGCCUUGGGAUGUGGUGGCCCUGUUCCCUGAUUUAAGAGGUGAUGACCACCACUCCACUACCAUUGUCAACUCUCUCCUGACAUGAACUGAAGCCACGUCUCAUCUGCCCGCUGAUCCACUGGCAAAUUGAACGUUUCCUCUCCAAGUACUUCAAACCCUGUCCUGCAGUGGUCAAGCCUCUGAACACCUCAACUCAUGCCUCAUACCCUCAUUCAAUCACUGCUGUGAUCCCUUCCCAACACUAUGUAAGUAACUCAUAAUAUUGUCAUUUAAAUGUCUUUAUUAAACUCUUUAGGUUAAAAUAGUUAGUCUUUGAUGAUUUUUGAAACACACUUUGUCGUGUCCGUGCGUUCCGCGCCUAUACCCUGGGUCUCCCAUCCUCCUCAAUUUUUCAAGUCCCCAGCCUCCACUGGCCCAGUAAUAUGGUCAAGUGCCACAAAAAGGGAAAUUACAGUUGGCCCAGAACAAAGCAGCUGGCCCUUAAAGCUCACAUUAAUAAUAUGCAUGUCAAUCUCUCUUGGCGCAAAGAAGAGGAAAGAUUG